rnacentral:rRNA from 1 species
CCUACGGGGGACUGCAGUGAGGAAUAUUGGUCAAUGGGCGCGAGCCUGAACCAGCCAAGUCGCGUGAGGGAAGACGGUCCUAUGGAUUGUAAACCUCUUUUGUCGGGGAGCAAAAGACGCCACGCGUGGCGUUCCGAGAGUACCCGAAGAAAAAGCAUCGGCUAACUCCGUGCCAGCAGCCGCGGUAAUACGGAGGAUGCGAGCGUUAUCCGGAUUUAUUGGGUUUAAAGGGUGCGCAGGCGGAAGAUCAAGUCAGCGGUAAAAUUGAGAGGCUCAACCUCUUCGAGCCGUUGAAACUGGUUUUCUGGAGUGAGUGAGAAGUAUGCGGAAUACGUGGUGUAGCGGUGAAAUGCAUAGAUAUCACGCAGAACACCGAUUGCGAAGGCAGCAUACCGGCGCUCAACUGACGCUCAUGCACGAAAGUGUGGGUAUCGAACAGGAUUAGAUACCCCUGUAGUC